rnacentral:lncRNA from 1 species
UUCUUGCCCUUUUCACCGAGAACAGAAAGGUUGCUGAGGAUGAGUUUUUUUUUUUGGGCUUGGCGCGGACAGAGACGGCGGUAAAGGGGAAGGGCUGUGGUGGAGGCGUUGGCAGAAAAGGCUUGUAUUAGAAGUGGGGAGGAGCAGAAUGGGAAAUGAGGGGUUUUUGUGGAGGAUUCGUUUGGGGAAAUUGGGGGGACAGAGGGUGGAAAGAGAAUGGUGGCAGCCGGCAGCCGGUUAAGGUGGUGGGAAAUUUGGCAGCGGUGAUUGGAAAAAUUUUUAUCGGAUGAUUGAAGCUGAAACCCCCAUUUCCCUUUUGUGUGUUUUUUUCGUUGCUUGUUUCCUCCAUUUUUUGCUCAGCCCGCCGCUUGGUUCCUCUUUUCCCUCUGCUUUUCCUUUUUAUCCCUCGCGCUCUUCUUCUUUUUUCUUUCUUUCCCAGUUCGCCGAAGCUUUCAUGCCCAAAACCUAGCCGCCCCUCUCUGUUUUUCUCCCUCUGCUCCCUUUGCUUAGCUUUCUUUCC